rnacentral:lncRNA from 1 species
CGAGCUCCACAGGUACGAAGAGCCCUGGCCUGUGGGCUGAGGUGAACUCUCCUAUGCAAAGCAGCAUCGCUCCUCUCUGCCCUCCCACACGGCGCCCUUCCACGAAAGCAAGGUCGAGGGGGAUGGAUCACUUUGGGUCACUUCUGUACCAAGAAUGUUCUGAACUAUAGAAUCUAAAUCUGCCUCUGUGACAGAUGACUUGCGAGGACAUUCUCCAUCCUGCUUCCAC